GUCCGGGUGUUGGGAACCCUGAGGGGGCGGUCUUGGGAGCCUGUGCCUGGGAAGGAUAUUUGGAGGCAGGGGCCCAGCAGCGGGAGCUGAGUCCGGUCCGGCAUGGCGUGUCCAGGGGACUUUUCGGGACUGAGUGAGGGGCGCCAGGCGGGGAGGCUCAAGGCCCUCCGCCGGUUUUUACCUAUUUUCUUUCUUUCUUUUUUGCCUUCCGCAGGGAGGCAGAAUCUGGGUAAUGGAAGGGAGAAUGGGCUCGCUAUCUGCCCAGAGCUUCCCUGGACUGCAGGAACCCGUCCUAUAAGCAACCCCGAAACUUCGGGGCCCGAGGACCAGGGAAGACCCCCUUUCCUUGCUGUCUUGACAGGGUUGCAGAAGCCAAGGAGUUCGGCAGGGAGACGGGGCUCCUGGGGUGGUUAAGGACGCGGUGACCACCCCUGGGCGGGAGCUGACUCCCGCGGGCCCGGAGGCUCUAGCUCACUCUACAGCAAAUGCUUUUGUUCCCGGAGGCUGCCCUGGGGGAAAGACGCCCCUUACCCCUGCCUUCGACCCUGGAGAGCCCAGUGCCCGCCCGGGCAGGGCUGGAGCCCGAGUCGCCCCAGGCAGAGUCCGCCGAGGCCUGGGGUGGGAGCCGCGACUUCUGGAUCUGCCUCCGAGCUCAGCUAGAAGACUGCGCGCACCUCGUCCGGCGCCGUCCGGCGCGCAGAAGCGGGUCUAAUGUUUAUAACGUUAAUAAUGACAGUUAGGGAGGGCUGUGGAGCCGGGAACCAAGACCUCAUCCCGCCGCCGCCCACGUCUUUGAUCAUUAAAGAAACAGACAACUAAUCAGGUGUGUGGAAGUAGGGGUGGGGGAGGGGAGGGUGACAAGGUUCCAAGCCGCUAGCGCAGAGGGUCCCAGAUUCAGAAUCUGCCGAAUCCAGACUAAGGCUUCUAACCAGGCUGGAGCCGACCCCAGACAGACCCAGGAAUGGAGAGCUGGAGCCCCUGGCCGCUUUCUGCGGAUCGACCCUUAACUUCAACGUCGCGAACCCGGAGCGUCGGGAGGGUGGGGAGGGUUGAAACCGGUUGGAUCUGGGGACUUGCUCCAGCGACUCCAUCCGCGCUGUUCUAGGGCCCAAGCCUGGUCCGCGCGCGCCCCCUGCUGGAAGCCGCUUGCCGGGCGCAGAGGCGGGUCAACGGCAGAGGGUGCUGGCUGGGCGAGGAAGAUGUGGCUGGAACCCUGCACCAAGGCGACCGCUGCUCACGGCUCUGCAGUCCCGCGGCGCGAUACGCCAGUGGGGCGCGCUUAACCAAAGUCCCGAGGCUUUACUUCCCGUGCCCACCCAGUCUAUGUCCCAGGUAUCAGCAACCUCUGGUCCACUACACAACACAGGCGCUGUCCCUACUUCGCGCUGCGUAGUUUCCAGUGCCCAGGGCGUCUCCUAAUUCUUGAGCGACUAGUCCCUGGCACAAAACCUUCCUAUACACCUCUCCCACUCUCCCUUCUCUCUGAGUCUUAUGACUUUGUCAGGGGCCUAUUAAAAUAAAUGUCUGAGAUCUGGAAAAAAAAAUCUGUUGGCGCUAACAGGGGCAAAGAAAACUGCAAAAUUGGAAGUAAUCGAUGUUUGAUUGAAUGUUUAAGACAUGCGACAUUGUGCAAACGAUUCUGUUGCAACUGCACUCAGAGUUGUACUUGCCCUUGUAUUUUAAUGUGGCACGCGGAGGAUUUAAUGGACUUGCCUAAAGAUGUGGGAAGGGCCUCUGAGAAUAAGAAAGCCGGGGCCCAGAUGGGCAUCAAACAUCCCCAGCAUAGCAGCCGGUUAAGGCUGCGGAGACCUUCCCCAAGGCUGCCCUCCAGUCAGAAGCCCCUGAACACUCACUACUUCCCAUCUUUCAGCUUCUGCGCGCACAGACACACACACACACACACACACACACACACACACACACACACACACACACACACACAAAUGUUCUCUCCAGCCCCACACCCUCAAGAAGCUGCUUUCCUUUUCUAAUUUCCAGUCGAAAGAUCACUCCUCAGGGAAGCCAGGCCCUGUUUAUACUCCCUCCUCCGGCCUUUCCUUGUACAGGUUCUAUGUAGUCGUCAGGCGGGCAGGUCCUAGCGUCAGACUCCAUUAUGUACUGACUGUGUGUCCUUAGCCAAGCUAUUUAACCUCUCUGUGCCUCAAGAAAAAAAGGCAUAAAUAAGAGUACUGACCAGGCGCGGUGGCUCACACCUGUAAUAAUCCCAGCACUUUGGGAGGCCCAGGCGGGCGGAUCACAAGGUCAGGAGUUCGAGACCAGCCUGACCAACAUGGUGAAACCUCGUCUCUGCUAAAAAUACAAAAAUUAGCCGGGCGUGGUGGUGCAUGCCUGUAAUCCCAGCUACUCAGGAGGCUGAGGCAGGAGAAUCUCGGGAGGCAGAGGUUGCAGUGAGCCGAGAUAGUGCCACUGCAUUCCGGCCUGGGCGACAGAGCGAGACUCUGUCUCAAAAAAAAAAAAAAAAAAAAAAAAAUACCUAUGCUUUUCGGUCACCUUGAGGAUUAAAUGAAUCAAUGUACGCAAAGCACUUAGUACCUGACACUUAGUGCUCAGUACUUGAGAUACGUUUUUUAUAUAAUAGCUGAAUUAGCCAUUAUUAUUGCCUUGCAGAGUGGGACACAAGUUUGAUAAAAGGUUCUGCUGCACACACCCCUACAGGCUUGUGUCCUGCCUCCUCCACAGGGGAGCACCUUGGCUCUGCCCCCAGACCUCUUCACCACCACCACCCCCUUUGCACACACACACACCAUGGGUAUAUGUAGAAACCAGAUUUACUAUUAUUAUUUGUAAAGGUUUCUAGUUUCAGAUACUUAGACUGAUGCUUGUCAGCAUGCCUGUUUGCAAAGAGAGACCCGCAACUGCAGACUUGGUGGAAGGUUUUUAAUUAAAACUACAUUCUGUUUAAG
ensembl:lncRNA novel transcript